UACGAAGGGGGCUAGCGUUGCUCGGAAUCACUGGGCGUGAAGGGUGCGUAGGCGGGUCUUUAAGUCAGGGUGAAUCCUGGAGCUCAACUCCAGAACUGCCUUGAUACUGAAGAUCUUGAGUUCGGGAGAGGUGAGUGGAACUGCGAGUGUAGAGGUGAAAUUCGUAGAUAUUCGCAAGAACACCAGUGGCGAAGGCGGCUCACUGCCCGAUACUGACGCUGAGCACGAAGCGUGGGAGCAACAGG
rnacentral:rRNA from 1 species